rnacentral:rRNA from 1 species
UACAGAGGUCUCAAGCGUUGUUCGGAUUCAUUGGGCGUAAAGGGCACGUAGGCGGCUUGGCAAAUCGGUCGUGGAAUCCCGACGCUUACCGUCGGAACGGCGGCCGAAAAUACCGAGCUCGAGGGCGUGAGGGGUCACUGGAACUCCUGGUGAAGCGGUGAAAUGCGUUGAUAUCGAUAGGAACUCCGGUGGCGAAGGCGGCAUACUGGACCACCACUGACGCUGAUGCGCGAAAGCCAGGGGAGCAAACGGG